rnacentral:lncRNA from 1 species
UUCUGAUGGUCAGAACCCACUUACAAAGUUAAAUGCGACGAGAAGCAGCUAUUUCCUGAGACAGGAGCAUUGCCAGAGCUGCCCCCCACCCCCACCCCCAGCCAGCUACCCUGGAGUACACAGCCAGGCGGAAACGAGAAGAGACCCCGCCCCAACAAGGUGGAAGGCUCUCCAGCGGUGGGGCUUUCAAGGACUCCUGAAAGCUGUCCUGACUCUGCUCUCACGCCCGUGUGCACACAGUCAAUGUAUUAGAACGAAGUUUGCACUGGACAAGCAGCUCUGAGUGAGCCUCUCUCCUGUAAUCCCAGCACCUGGGAAACUGAGCACGCUCCAGCCCGAAGGUAGGAAGCUUGUACUGGCCUACAACUAAGACACUCAGAGUAUUCUGGAUGGAGACAUUGGCAGUUAAAUCUGCCCCAGAUGGUAGAAGCAGUGCACUCCCUGCAUGUCUAAUGAUGCUCAGAGGAUGGCUGCUGCUCUCACUACAUUAAUAGCAUUGGCAGGUGCUGCUCACGUCUCCUGGCUUUUGUGAGGUGACUGUCACAAAUACAGUUGUCCCCGCCUUAGGAAUGAGGACUGUCUUCCUACCUUCUGGAAAUGUCUCAACUGUGCUUGCUCCUGUAUGGGUGAAUUUCACUGAUUGGCUGCUGCACUCUGGUGAGUCAGCUUCCUUUCUUGCAAAAUAAAAUCAUUUUCAU